rnacentral:misc_RNA from 1 species
GAUGAAGAACGUAGCGAAAUGCGAUAAGUAGUGUGAAUUGCAGAAUUCAGUGAAUCAUCGAAUCUUUGAACGCACAUUGCGCCCCUUGGUAUCCCGAGGGGCAUGCCUGUUCGAGCGUCAUUACAACCCUCAAGCUCUGCUUGGUAUUGGGCCCCGCCAGUUCUGGCGGGCCCUAAAGUCAGUGGCGGUGCCUUCCGGCUCCGAGCGUAGUAAUUCUUCUCGCUCUGGAGACCCGGUUGUGUGCUUGCCAACAACCCCCAAUUUUUUAAGGUUGACCUCGGAUCAGGUAGGGAUACCCGCUGAACUUAAGCAUAUCAAUAAGCGGAGGA